UUCCUGACAACGUCGCUGACGGGCGGGGUGUGCACGACGGCGCUGCUGGCGGUGAACGUGGCCGGAGGGGUGGUGGUGUACAGCGACGAGUUCGGCGGCGUGAAGGCGCCACCUCCUUCCUCGGCACCGCCCAAGUUCAGCCCACAAGUUCAGAGCCACCGCCGCCCUCAAGUUCAGAGCCACCGCCGCCUUCGAACCCCCUCAAGUUCAGCCACCGCCGC
rnacentral:lncRNA from 1 species